GACGAACGCUGGCGGCGUGCUUAACACAUGCAAGUCGAGCGGAGCGGCGAACGGGUGAGUAACGCGUGAGUAACUGCCCCCCUCUCUGGGAUCACAGUUGGAAACGGCUGCUAAUAGAGGAUAGUGGGGGUGGACUCGCGUCCUAUCAGCUUGUUGGUGGGGGAGGCGCUUACCAAGGGGACGACGGGUCGCCCGCCUGAGAGGGCGACCGGCCACAUUGGGCUGAGGUACGGCCCAAACGCCUACGGGAGGCAGCAGUGGGGAAUAUGGCACAACGGGGGAAACCCUGAUGCAGCAACGUCGCGUGCGUGAUGACGGCCUUCUGGUUGUAAACCGCUAUCAGCCAUGACGCGGUAGUGACAGAAGAAGCACCGGCUAACUACGUGCCAGCAGCCGCGGUAAUAC
rnacentral:rRNA from 1 species